UACGUAGGUCCCGAGCGUUGUUCGGAUUUAUUGGGCGUAAAGCGAGCGUAGGUGGUUUAUUAAGUCUGGUGUAAGAGGCAGUGGCUCAACCAUUGUAUGCAUUGGAAACUGGUAGACUUGAGUGCAGGAGAGGAGAGUGGAAUUCCAUGUGUAGCGGCGAAAUGCGUAGAUAUAUGGAGGAACACCGGUGGCGAAAGCGGCUCUCUGGCCUGUAACUGACACUGAGGCUCGAAAGCGUGGGGAGCAAACAGG
rnacentral:rRNA from 1 species